rnacentral:rRNA from 1 species
GAUGAACGCUGGCGGCGUGCCUAAUACAUGCAAGUCGAGCGAACGGACGAGAAGCUUGCUUCUCUGAUGUUAGCGGCGGACGGGUGAGUAACACGUGGAUAACCUACCUAUAAGACUGGGAUAACUUCGGGAAACCGGAGCUAAUACCGGAUAAUAUUUUGAACCGCAUGGUUCAAAAGUAAAAGACGGUCUUGCUGUCACUUAUAGAUGGAUCCGCGCUGCAUUAGCUAGUUGGUAAGGUAACGGCUUACCAAGGCAACGAUGCAUAGCCGCCCUGAGAGGGUGAUCGGCCACACUGGAACUGAGACACGGUCCAGACUCCUACGGGAGGCAGCAGUAGGGAAUCUUCCGCAAUGGGCGAAAGCCUGACGGAGCAACGCCGCGUGAGUGAUGAAGGUCUUCGGAUCGUAAAACUCUGUUAUUAGGGAAGAACAUAUGUGUAAGUAACUGUGCACAUCUUGACGGUACCUAAUCAGAAAGCCACGGCUAACUACGUG